rnacentral:rRNA from 1 species
CAGUAGCCGCGGGAAUACAGAGGGUGCGAGCGUUAAUCGGAUUUACUGGGCGUAAAGCGUGCGUAGGCGGCUAAUUGAGUCGGAUGUGAAAUCCCCGAGCUUAACUUGGGAAUUGCAUUCGAUACUGGUUAGCUAGAGUGUGGGAGAGGAUGGUAGAAUUCCAGGUGUAGCGGUGAAAUGCGUAGAGAUCUGGAGGAAUACCGAUGGCGAAGGCAGCCAUCUGGCCUAAUACUGACGCUGAGGUACGAAAGCAUGGGGAGCAAACAGGAUUAGAUACCCGUGUAGUCCCUGUCUCUUAUAA